GUAGGUGGCAAGCGUUGUCCGGGAAUUAUUGGGCGUAAAGCGCGCGCAGGCGGUUCUUUAAGUCUGAUGUGAAAGCCCACGGGCUCAACCGUGGAGGGUCAUUGGAAACUGGAGAACUUGAGUACAGAAGAGGAAAGCGGAAUUCCACGUGUAGCGGUGAAAUGCGCAGAGAUGUAGAGGAACACCAGUGGCGAAGGCGGCUUUCUGGUCUGUAACUGACGCUGAGGCGCGAAAGCGUGGGGAGCAAACAGGAUUAGAUACCCUGGUAGUCCACGCCGUAAACGAUGAGUGCUAAGUGUUAGGGGGUUUCCGCCCCUUAGUGCUGCAGCUAACGCAUUAAGCACUCCGCCUGGGGAGUACGGCCGCAAGGCUG
rnacentral:rRNA from 1 species